CCCAACGAGAUCGGGAUAACACCUGGAAACAGAUGCUAAUACCGGAUAACAACAGAUGAUGCCUAUCAACUGUUUAAAAGAUGGUUCUGCUAUCACUCUUGGAUGGACCUGCGGUGCAUUAGCUAGUUGGUAGGGUAACGGCCUACCAAGGCGAUGAUGCAUAGCCGAGUUGAGAGACUGAUCGGCCACAUUGGGACUGAGACACGGCCCAAACUCCUACGGGAGGCAGCAGAC
rnacentral:rRNA from 1 species